CAGUUAAAGGCUUGGGUGUAUUUAGCUAGCUUGGUUAUCCAUGAAGAACAAAUCUCCAAUAUUGUUUUUGGCCCGUUCAGCUAACUAACACUAGCUAGCAAGUACAUUUAUCCAUAUACACAGCAUCUAUAUAUAUGUACAUAUAGGCCACAGACCAUGAGCAGUAACGUAUACAUUUACCUAAAUGCUAGCUAGUGUUAAAAACUAGCAUACUAAGCUACUCACAUACGGCAGUUACUUCCAACCACUGUAUUGCGAGCUAGCUUAUGUUAGCUAGCUGGAAGGAAGACUAACUUAAACAUAAUUAGGUAACGGUAGUUAGAUUGUAGGCUUCUGAGGUAAUAUAUAUGUUUAAUACACUACUAUGUUACCUAUUUAGCUAAUAGAUGCUAGCUAGCAUGUGAAUCUAUCUAUACAGGCCGAUACAUUCAAAGCUAUUUAGCCAAAUGCUAGUGAGAGUUACAAACUAGCAUCCGGAGCUACUUGGAUAUGGCAGUUACUUCUACAGCCUGAGGAGACUCUGAACAAAUACAACCACCACGUCAACACUGACUGAACAGUACAGCAGAGAGAGAGAGAGAGAGAGAGAGAGAGAGAGAGAGAAGGAGAGAGAGAGAGUACGGCAUAUUGUCCUCAUCUCCAACCAUGCCAGAGCAAAUGAAAUCAGCAUGCCUGCCUGAGAGCUCGGGCUUGCGGAGCAGCAGCGCCUGGGCUUCAGGAAUGCUGUACGCUGCGGUGUUUGUCCAAGAGGAGAGAGGAUGUUGACUCACCGGGGCUUUUCAAAGAGCCAGCUCCAGGAAAACAGGGAGGAUGGAGCCCAGAGAUACUGUACCGUGUUCCCAGAAAACAGUAUGAUUGCAAUUAGUUGUAAUUCUUAUGUUCCUGCGAAGAUGACAUUACACUUAUAUUUGAAAAACA